rnacentral:lncRNA from 1 species
UCAUAAGCAUCUUCAAAAAAAAAUCACAAAUUGUUCUCAACUAUUGUAUCUCUGCUUCCUCUGUUCUUUCUCGGACAAAUUCUUGAAUCAUCAUUCGUUCCUGAGCAUUCCUUACACAUUUGAAUCCUUUUGUUGGCUUUGUUCAAUGCUUUCUCUCUCACACUAAUAAGCCGUUUGAAAUAAUUUCCCUUAUUCUUGCAAACAUUCGGCACAAGUAUACUUACAUCUCCAACAUGUUGUUCACCAACCAUAGCAGCAAUAUAUCUCUCUUACUAAAAUCAGCACCAUCUCCACCAUACUUUUCAAGAUCCGAACUAAUCUGCUUUAUGAUUUUAUGCACAUAAUCAAGCUUAUCCAUUUGAACUCCAGCCUCGUUAAGAGUUUGUCGAAAAUCAAACCACAAAUUGGUCAAUUUCAAUGACACUUGCUCCAUUUUAAAAAAAUCCGAAGAUAACGCAACUGAUUCAGAUAAAGUCCCGCACUCUGCAAUCUUCAACCGCCACAUAUUAUACCUGCAAAACAUAACACAUAAAAACAGUAAACUACACAAUCACUUAUAUACAAUGGAGAUAUCACUAAUAUACAAAGGGCAUAACACUAAAAUACACACCACAUAUCACUAAAAUAUGCUUAAAAUUUCACUAAAAAACCUUACAAUGUCACUAACAGAAACUACAAAAAGAAAUACUAUAACUGGUUUUUAUGCCCAUAGCAGACACUACAAGAGACUACUGCCAUGCUCGCCACUAUUCAACUAAAUUAAUUGGAAUUACAAUCAUAAAUUAAGUCUCGCAAAACCAAUUAUUUCCUAAAACUAUAGACAGUCAAAAUUUUAAACUAGAUAAUGCACAACUGAUCUUUAAUAACAACACUUUUCACUAGUUCAAAACUAUUUACAGAUCAUAUACAUUUAACAAUGUUAAUUGUAUUCAUAAAUACAAGACUAUACAAGCUUAGCAGACUAGACAUUUACAGCUCAUUGUUUCGGCUUCAAUACAUUCACCAAGAUAACAAACACUAAUCAAAGGAAUACAAAGACUACUGGCCAUUUCUAUUUAAACCAUUGUUUAGGAAAACAUUAUGCAUAAUCCAAGACUAUAUACAAAAAAACAUACAAAGAAUACGAAAUGCACCACAUAAUCCAAUACUAUAUACAGAACAACAUUCGAAUGCACAAUCACAAUUCCACAAAAUAUACCAUAAUCUGUCAUACUCCUUCUAAAACCACCCAAUAUGCCAUACUCAUUGUAAAACCGGUAAGCCUUUUCUAAGCUAUCAAAUACCUGAUUACGAACUGGAGUAGCAACUGCAGCAACACAACUAGGUAUAUAAUAGCUCAUACCACCCGGGGAAACAGAGUAAUUAGCUACCGAAUCAUCACUUCCAGUUGAACAAAUAGCAGGAGUAACUUCUACAACACUAAUAUUCAAUGAAUCACCACUACUUGAUUCUGAACAAUAGCAAUUAAGCACAAAAUCAAUUACUAAAUAACACAUCACAAAAUUGUAUAAUUACUCACUAAAUACAUAAAUCACAUUAUAAAAUUGCAAAACUAAAUCACUGCCUAAAUCAUUAUAAAUCACUACCUAAAUCAUUGCCAAACUGAAUCACUGCCUAAAUCAUUAUAAAGCACAAUACAAGUACUAAAUCACAAAAUUAUAUCACUGCCUAUAUCAUUACAAAACACGUCACAAAAUUGCAUCACAAAAUUACGAACCUCAUCAUUAUUUGCAACUCAACAAGGAUGAAAUCAGAAAUCUAAAUAUGAAUUAUAAAUCGAACAGAUGUAGAUAUAGAACAACGAACAUAAUAUUGAACAAAAAACAUCAUAAUCAAACAUUAAAAGCAACAAAAAUAUAAAAAUUAGCCAUAAAAAAUGAAUCUUUACCUUGAUUCUCACUAACUUUAGAUAAAUCCGAUAUAAUCAUCUUCAAUUCAGAAUCGAGCUCCAAGAUGAUGCAAUUUAAUCACUAAAUCACUGAUCUCCGAUGAUGCUUUAGUCGAUAGGCUGCUCGAGAAGAAACUGGAUUAGAGAGAUAAGCUGCUCGAGGAGUAGUUCAAGUCGUUGUAGAGAGAGAAAGUUCC